CAUCGGUUUUUCUCCCCACCAGCUUCGCAGAUGCGAUUCCCACCGCCGACCGCCCGGAUCCCGCCCGGCGUCCUCCGCCCGCACGAUUCCCUCGGCGUCCGCGCCGCCCGGCUAGCUGCAACCUCCUCUCCCGCCGCCCCCCGUUUUUUCUUACGCGAGCCCCGCCUGGCGACGCCGGCCCACGCGAUUCCCGGCGCCGUCGGCGCCCGCGCCGCUCGGCGAGCUGCAGCUCCUGCUCCUGCCGGCCCCCGCGAUUCCCUGCUCGUCGAGCCCUGCCUGGCGACGCUGGCCCGUGCGAUUCACGGCGCCGCCGGCGCCCGCGCCGCCCGGCGAGCUGCAGCUCCGGCUCCCGCCGGCCCCCGCGACUGUCCUGGCUGGGCCUGUUCGACGUUAGUAAAAAACAGCAUCUCUUUCUCCUCUGUCCUCUCUCCACGCCUUCUCUCCUCGCUCUCGGUUCCUUUGCCAGCGGCGAUGCGGAGGCGAGUGGCGCCGCCCUUGCAAGUCUUCGUCGGGCGCUUCGCCGGCCGACAAGGUUCAUUUUCCAAGAUUUCCAGCGGUUCUGCUGGAACCCUCAUGCCCCAGGUCAAGCUCGCCACCUCUUCGACAUGAGGCUCAACAAGGUGGAAGUGAACCUUAGAAGGCUGCUGGAGGCGGCUCAUCGGCAGCAGAAUAUCGAAGACCCAUCGACAUGUAGUACCUAAUUUCCGCUGGUUAAUUCAGAGCACGCUUAAUGUACUCAUGGGCGGGUACAUGUUCCUCGAGGUCGGGUACGACAGGCCUGUGAAGCAGUAGUGCAGGACAGUUCAUGUCAGCUCACUUUGCUGCGGUCGCAGCAGGCACAUCUCCAAGGGAUGGAACCUGGCAGCUCAACUGCUGCACCAGGAUCAGUGCCAGCCUGUCCAAGGGAGCUCAUCGGCCAUGCCUGUAAUACGUUUGACAAAAUGCUCAGGAGGGAGUGCUGUGAUAUUUUGACAGAAGAUUUUGUAGUAUCGUUCCUUUCAAGCAUGCUCUUUCUUUCCCUUAACCAGUUGAUUGUUGAUUGUUCCUUAGACAUAGCAAUUUUUUUGAAGGUAUUUAGAUAAAGUAAUGCUUAACCUAUUUAAUCGACUUAAGCUGCCAGUCUGCCACAUGUUUUGUAUUCUAGAAUUCCUUUUGUCAGUAUAAAAAUUGAUAUAGUGAUGGCUAAUGAUGGAGGAUUUCUUCACUAGUCAACACAUAAUAAUGGGCUAGUACAGAUAAUAAGGAUGAUUUUUAUAUUUAAGAAUUAAGGAUUUCAUCAGCUAGGACUAUCACUAUCUUAGAAUAAUGGGUAGAAACAAAGCACUUCCUAUAUGUUGAUUAUAGCUGAUUCCAUAGUACAUUCAAUCCUUUGCUGCCAUUUGUUGAAUUUCAGCAUAUACGGUUAUGAUGAUUGAUGAGUUCUCUAGAUUGGAGCUCACUUUCUGAACAAUCCACCAUAGCCUAUUUUUCAGAUAGUUGUGGUGACCACAUUUCUAAUUAAUUCACAGUAGUUAUCUUUUUUUUUCAAAUCGCUGCGGCAACUGAUAUUUAUAAUUAAUUCAUGUAACCAAUUUUUCAGUUUGUUGUGGCAACUUCAUUUUUCAGUAAAGAUCAAGACUGCCAUUUUUGUUGGCUUCACACAAGAAGAUAAUGUUAUAUUGAGUACUACUGCAUCUGCACCUACAUGUCUAAUUUUUUGCACCUAUUCUAUCAGUAUUCAGGUCGAUACAUAUAUGUAAACAAUUUUAUUCCUAGAGAUUUGGUUGCCAGAGUAUUUUUGUUUCAUUUGUUCUUCCCAUUUUCCUGUUUCAUUAUUAUAAUUACGGUUUCUUGCAGGCUCAAUAGCUAUGUAUAAUGGCAUGGUGCUACAUAUAGUCUCGACUUUCUUCCUUCUUAACUAUCUUGUUAGCUGACUAUUUUUUGACAAUAAGGGAACGAGAAUUCUAUACUGGUUGUGUUCAGACCCUCCUAGUAAGAAUAAAAAUAGUUCGUGUAAUUUCUUUACUCCUUGCCCAUUUCACCUUCUGAACGAUAUUGUUUUGAAGCUUCUGUCUUGUGGCACUAGACCUAGUAAGAAAUAAAAAUAGCAUGCGUACUUUUUUUUGUUACUCCUUGCUCAUUUUUUUGUUGUUUAUGGAUUCGGAUGGGGGGGAAAGGCCAGAUCAGGCCAGAAGGUGCAUGGGGAGCACUACUUCUUGCCAGGAUUGUCUUUUGAAUCUGCAAUAGGAGCCAAGCCAAAGACACAUUUCUGUGUGUUCAUUUGUGGCUAGAUAUGAUCAAUUUUAAAUAGGUUUCAUGUAUUCCUUUGUGAUUUGGGCAUGUUGUGAGAUCAGGUGUGCGACGCCUCUUUUUUUUUGCAAGCCUGUCCUUUCAUUUUGUUUAUUCAAUUUUUGGUUCAGCAAUGAUGAGUUAGUUAAUUUUAUUCAUUUCACUGCAUCUCUGACUGUGUUGGUACAUUGGUAUAGUGCAAACCAGUGAUCUCCUGAUUAACAGGAGCACCACUGCAGCGACAUUGUAGGGUGGGUGUUUCGCCGACCAGCAGUGCCCACUGCCCAGGAUAUUUGCCAUCCUGCCGCAUUAGGAUAUUUGCUCAUCUCCCCUGAGAACAUAUCUUAUGUUUUUUUUCUUUUGUUGCGUUGUCGGUAUUCUCUGUUAUUGUGUGCUGCAAAUAGAAGAUUCAUAGCGAUGUCAACAAAACCUAAUGCAGAGGUGGUUGUAUCACAUCAUUUGCUUAAUUUCCAAGUAAAUGUAGCCCGGAUUUAUAUGUGUGAAUGCUACUGAUUUCCCAGAGCAAUACUACAUGCUAAUGCAUUUUCAGUUUGUCUUCAGCUAAUGCUUCAGCGUAAUGAUGCUUUCCACUGAGCUGAUCUUUGUGUUGUAUUUCAGGUCAAGUAUAAGUUCUUUUUUUGUCAGUUUCUGCUGCAUUUUAGAUGAAGUAUCAGCAAUAGUUGAAGGCCAUAUGAAGUAGGUCGACUAGCUGACGGCGACACAGAUCAGCAGAACCAGAGAACUACACUCGACAUCAACAGCUGAUCUAGAUCUGUCUAGGGACAACCAAAUGGGCCUUUGCAGGGACAAGGAGCUCUGUCUGUAUCUUCUAUUUUCUUUAAGACCACGGCUGUGGCUAGCGUAAAACUAUUGUAUUCAAAUUGGAAAUAUCUAUUUAAAUGCCCACGAAUAAGAUAAACCGGUUGUACCCAA